UACGUAGGGUGCAAGCGUUGUCCGGAAUUAUUGGGCGUAAAGAGCUCGUAGGCGGUCUGUCGCGUCGGCUGUGAAAACUUGGGGCUCAACCCCAAGCCUGCAGUCGAUACGGGCAGACUAGAGUGUGGUAGGGGAGACUGGAAUUCCUGGUGUAGCGGUGAAAUGCGCAGAUAUCAGGAGGAACACCGGUGGCGAAGGCGGCUCUCUGGACCACAACUGACGCUGAGGCGCGAAAGCUAGGGGAGCAAACAGG
rnacentral:rRNA from 1 species